AGCUCCAAUAGCGUAUAUUAAAGUUGUUGCAGUUAAAAAGCUCGUAGUUGGAUCUGAGGAGUGGAGCCAAUGGUUGGUCGCAUGACUACACUGUUGGCUCGGCCUAACUAGUCGGUGAUUGUUUUGGUGCUCUUAAUUGAGUGCCUUAAUUACCCGGCCACAUUUACCUUGAAAAAAUUGGAGUGCUCAACUCAGGCCUACUGCCUGAACAGAUGUGCAUGGAAUAAUGGAAAAGGACUUCGGUUCUAUUUUGUUGGUUUUCGGAACAUGAAGUAAUGAUUAAGAGGGACAGACGGGGGCAUUCGUAUUGCGGUGGGAGAGGUGAAAUUCUUAGAUCAUCGCAAGACGCCCUACAGCGAAAGCAUUUGCCAAGAAUGUUUCCAUUAAUCAAGAACGAAAG
rnacentral:rRNA from 1 species